UGACCUCGGAUCAGGUAGGAAUACCCGCUGAACUUAAGCAUAUCAAUAAGCGGAGGAAAAGAAACCAACAGGGAUUGCCUUAGUAACGGCGAGUGAAGCGGCAACAGCUCAAAUUUGAAAUCUGGCUCUUUCAGGGCCCGAGUUGUAAUUUGGAGAGGAUGUUUCGGGCACGGUCCGGGCUUAAAUUUCUUGGAACAGAAUGUCACGGAGGGUGAGAAUCCCGUCUGGAGCUCGGACACGACCCAUGUGAAACUCCUUCGACGAGUCGAGUUGUUUGGGAAUGCAGCUCUAAAUGGGUGGUAAAUUUCAUCUAAAGCUAAAUAUUGGCCAGAGACCGAUAGCGCACAAGUAGAGUGAUCGAAAGAUGAAAAGCACUUUGAAAAGAGAGUUAAACAGUACGUGAAAUUGUUGAAAGGGAAGCGCUGGCAACCAGACUUGCGCGUCGGGGUUC
rnacentral:rRNA from 1 species